GACGAACGCUGGCGGCGUGCUUAACACAUGCAAGUCGAACGGAAAGGCCCUGCUUUUGUGGGGUGCUCGAGUGGCGAACGGGUGAGUAACACGUGAGUAACCUGCCCUUGACUUUGGGAUAACUUCAAGAAACUGGGGCUAAUACCGGAUAGGAGCUCCUGCUGCAUGGUGGGGGUUGGAAAGUUUCGGCGGUUGGGGAUGGGCUCGCGGCUUAUCAGCUUGUUGGUGGGGUAGUGGCUUACCAAGGCUUUGACGGGUAGCCGGCCUGAGAGGGUGACCGGCCACAUUGGGACUGCGAUACGGCCCAGACUCCUACGGGAGGCAGCAGUGGGGAAUAUUGCACAAUGGGCGGACGCCUGAUGCAGCAACGCCGCGUGCGGGAUGACGGCCUUCGGGUUGUAAACCGCUUUCGCCUGUGACGAAGCGUGAGUGACGGUAAUGGGUAAAGAAGCACCGGCUAACUACGUG
rnacentral:rRNA from 1 species